UUUUUUUUUUUUUUUUUUUUUUGGUCUUAGAUGUUCCAAAGGGCUCCUGAUUAAGGGUUUCCUAUAAAAUGCCCACUCCUCUCUCCCAGGCCAGCUCCCACACAAAGUGCCCAGAAAACAAAACAAAAGAGCUGCUUCCGGAGUUCCCGUCGUGGCGCAGUGGUUAACGAAUCCAACUAGGAACCAUGAGGUUGCGGGUUCGGUCCCUGCCCUUGCUCAGUGGGUUAACGAUCUGGCAUUGCCGUGAGCUGUGGUGUAGGUUGCAGACGCGGCUCGGAUCCUGCGUUGCUGUGGCUCUGGUGUAGGCCGGUGGCUACAGCUCUGAUUCAACCCCUAGCCUGGGAACCUCCAUAUGCCGAGGGAGCGGCCCAAGAAAUAGCAACAACAACAACAACAACAACAACAAAAAGACAAAAGACCAAAAAAAAAAGAGCUGCUUCCUACAAGGGUUGAGUAGUUUUAAAUUUUUUUUUUUUUCUUUAUGCCAGGCCUUAGGCCAAAACUCUCCAUCAAAUCAGGCAUUUUCCAGCUGGCCUAGCACAGAAAGCCCUUCCCCAUUAGGGCUGGAAUCCAUUAUUAACUAGAUUUCCUGAGUAAAACUUUGUCCCCCUAUAAAUAUUUAGCUAAAAUCUAAAAUAUUAAUAUCCUCCAAUGUACCCCAGGGAGAAGGCUUCAGAAUGUCUCAGGAGGACAGCCUUUUCAAUAACUACCCAAGAUCAGGUGCAGUUGCCUCCCUGGUUUACUUGUCUGGUUCACUGGUUUUCACUGCCGUAUUAAACUUCUUGUGCCUCAGUUAGAGAAGGUCCCCCUCUGUACCAAGUGAGCUCCUGGCUGGUCAUGCAGAAGGAGGAAGAUUGGCUCUUUUGUAAAUCCUUUUCAUCAAUUUUUUUGAUCAUUAACAGUUCACACCUCCUCCAGUGGCAGGAUGGUGUUGCUGCCCUAUUAGCACAUUUCUGGGUGCAAGGGUGAGGGGCACAGGCCCCCCAGGUUAUUGGUCUCCUUCCUCCUGGCCUCUUGACCCUCUUGAGUCUUCCCUGGGAUUGGAAGUGCAGGAUUCAGGAGAACGCCAAGGAGAUAGGGCAAGUGGGCAGGAGGUGGCUCCCUCAUUCUCCUGGUGAGGUGAGCAGGAAGCAGGAGGAAGGAUCCCUGAGACCUAGAGAUGAGAAGGUAGGCUUGUGUGCCUGACUGUGCUGGCUAAAGCAACACAGAGGCAGGCGCUUACUGACUACAAGUGCCCCCAGAACUCGCCUGGUAAGAAUCCAGGUCUAAAUUUGGGUGGCUCGAUAGCCAUGCCCAGGAAUAUGGGGAAUAUUGCAAUCUGAAUGGGGCUAAGGGCAGGGUCACCAUUUCCAGCCCUUUGCCAUCCUUGAAUUGUCCCUCUUGAAAGAACUGUUGCUCUGUUCUCAGGCCUCAGCUGUGGCCUUUGCUCCUUGCUGGACCUUCACUCAGCAUUCACUCAUCUCUCCUUUUUCCUGUUCCUUCCUCCCCAGCCUUGCCCUCUGGCCCCCUGCCUCUCCUAGCUUCUACAGACCAUCUCCUGCCUUAAGUAUUGUUACAAAGUCUACCAGUAAACAUACAGAGCUGGUUUCUAGUGAUUUUGGCAUCAACCUAGUAAGAUGUAGCCAGGGGACCUGGAAACCCCUCCUUAUAGGACUGGAUAGGCCUACCUUCUCAUAUGCCUUGUGCUGUAGCUUGAACUUGCAGUUGGUGACUAGCAGGUUCCAAAGCUCCUAUUUAUUCUUGAAGUUGCCUUGUUUCUAUUUUGAUUCUGCUAAUCCAAACUGCAGCUUGGUGUUUCCAAGGAAACAAUUCAGUGAUUGUUUGGCUUGCCAAGAUGAACUGCAGGGGAGAGAACCAAAUGACGUAAAACAGUUUUAGUUUUUCAAAUAUCAAUGUCUCCCCAAGAAGUCUUUGGUCCUAGCUUCCUGCAAACUUGAGAAAGUUUUAUUAAAAUAAAUGUUCCAGGCUCUUGUUACUCUUCCUCCUAAAUCACUAGAGACUCACUCCCUAAACCCCUGAUCCAUGCAGAUGAGCACAAAUCUUCCUGCCACCCUGAAGCAGACGACAAAGGUAGGAAGGUGUCCUUUGGGCACCUUGGGGAGCCAGGGAUGCAGACAUAACAGAUGUCCCCAGGGAAAUGAUCAUGUGGCCAUCCUAGCUACUCUGGGACUGGUAUGCCAGAGGCUCGGGGCUUACCUGCUUUACUUGAUGUCUGUGUUUCUACAGUGAGGAAGAGCUCCUCAGGAUGAAUUAACCCUUCGGUAAAUCUGAAUUUUCACAUAAAGGUUUUGCUAAAACAGAAGUAGACUUGUUAAGCUGGCCAGGGAGAACCUGAACCCUCUCUCUUACCCCAUCCCAACCGGUGCUCAGCCCUCUUUCCCAAGGGCCGCUGUCUCUGCUGCUGGCAGAAAAAAAAAAAUCCUCUCAUUUCAGUUUUGUAGGGUUAGGGCUAGAUUCCCAUUCCCCGUAGCCAUCCCCUCUGUAAAGCCUCUCCAGGGGAGUAAGAACGAAGUUCUGAGAAACAGCUCUGUGAGACUUAAAGCUUCCAUCCAUGAGGGUCCAACACCUUCAGAGAAGGAUAAGGCCCUUGUCAGGGUCCUGCUGAGCCUGUGGCAUAAGGCUUGUAGACCAGAGGGGUCUGUAUCCAGAAAUGUUUUAUUACUCUGUAGGCCUUGGACCUGUCCCCGUGUGUGUAAACUGUGAAGGGUACCUCUGGGCAUGUAUCUGGUGAAGGAUGCCCAAGACUGGUUGUUGGAGAUGAGAGUUUUAAAAAAAACAACUCUAAUUUCUUCUCUCUACAGACAUGUCUACAUGUCCUCUGCAAACUUAACAAUACAGACAAAAAAGACCAAAACCCUCCUUGGUCCCUCCAUAACAAUUUUAUGCAUGCAUGCUCAUACUUACAUUUCACAAACUUGGGAUCAACUGCAUUUAAAAAAAAAAAAAAACAUUUUAAAAUGUAUUUGGAAUAAACUCAGAUUUACAGGAAAGUUGCAAAGAUAGUUUAAAUAUGUCCUUCACCCAGCUUCUCUUAAUGUUAACAUCUUGCAUAACUAUGGCAUAUUUGUCAAAACUAAGAAACUAACAUAAAUACAUUAAUAAUAGCUAAACUUGAACCUGUAUUUAUACUUCAUCCAUUUUUCCAUUCAUGUCCUCUCUGUUCCAGGACGAAUCCAGAAUACUGUGCUGCAUUUAGCCAUUCUGUCUCCUCAGAGUCUGCUGCUGUGUGACAGUUUUUGACUCUGACAGUCUUGGCUUUGACAGUCUUGAGGACUGUCCAGGUAGCCUGUAGAAUAUCCCCCAAUCUGGGUUUAUCUGACGUUUGUGUCAUGAUUGGCCUGAGGAUGGGGGUUUUUGGUGGGAAUACUGUGGAAACCAAUAAAAACCAACCUUUUAUUACCGCUUCCAGUCAGGUCUGGGUGACGUGCACAGGACACCAUGGGUGGUGCUCAUCUUUGCCAGUUGGUUAAGUGAUGUCUGCCAGGCUUCUCCAUGUAAUCUACUCUCUUUCUCUGUCCCUGUUCUAGUCCUUCGGAGCAAGUCACUAAGUCCAGCUCACCCUCAAGGGGUGGUGAAGCGCAAGGAUUGUUGGGGAUGGGGAUUAAGCUUCACCUCUGUGGGAGAGUAUACACAUCAAUGCAUAUUAUUUGGAACUCACUGUUGGGAGACCUGUUUUUUUGACUAUCAAGUAGUCUGAAGUCUCUCCAUCUAGAUGGCCCCUUCUUCCCCUGAGAGGGGCAGCAAAAGGCUGUGAGCAUUUCUUCUCAUUUGCUCCUAUCCUUCCUCCUCAGGGAGAAAAAACUGGUGCUCAACUUCCCAGUCUGUGAGCGUUUUUGAAGGGUGCCACCUGCUGCAAGGAUUGAGCAUUAGAUGGCUUGGGAGGAGUCUCUGGUUAGCCUGUCCUGCCCUCUAACCUAGCAGGGCAGUACUGGUGACUGUACCCACAGCAAAGGCCUAUCCCAUGAAGUGACCAGAAUCUAGUUCUAGGGAUGCAGGCAUGGGCCCAGCCUUGCACUGCUGAGUAGGUGCAAGGCCUCCAAUUGGGAGCCUAGAGAAAUAUCCAGACUUUUGGUAAAGGGGUGUUGCCAGCUCUGCAGCCUGCCCUAUGCUGGGUCACUAGCCAAAAAUAUGGCCAGGUCCUCACCUAGGCCUUCCUCCCCAGCUCUUUGGUUUAUUUGGGUUUUGGGUCUCACAGCUUCUGCACCAAUCUCCUCACACCCAUCCUCCCCUAAGAGCCUAGGAGGUGGCCACUUCCCUGAGACUCAGUUUCUGGGAGGCAUCAUACCUUGCCCAACAAAUUAUUAGGUUUCCUGAAAGAACAUCAUGGUUUUGAGAGUUUUGUCCAAAAGUUUCUAAUGAUGUCCUUUCUCUCUAAGGGUGAGGCUAGAACCAGCCCUGCUAAACUCUUGCUGCUAUGCUGACCUCAGAGGGCAGUGGCCUGUCUCCUCCUUCACUCCCUGCCUGUUUUGCCCCAGGAGGGUCAUUAUCAUGGGAACCACCUCUGGCCUCCAGGGUGUCCAGGGCUGGAGUGGGGUAGAUGAGGCUCAGGCAUGAAGUGGAUGGGCAAGACCCGUGCUUAUCCCUCUCUAUGCCCCCUCAACAGAGGGCCUAGAUGUUUGACUUGGGAUGUGUGGUAGAGCAGCCUCAUGGGAAUGUCCUGUCAGGAGGAGACCAGGGAUGCAGCCAGCUACUCUGACAUAAGGAGGCCUUUGAGCUGGGCAAGGGCAAGGAUGAAGGGGUUGAGGGUCUGGACAUGAGGAGGGCACUGGGCCCAGGCAGGAGACAGGUAGUCUUGUGUGCAGAGUGUGCAAAUGUGGCAGAUGCCUGGGCCAAUUCUUCCAUACAGGCUCAAGCAGGCCUGGGAUGGGCUGGUCAUAAGGGGUACAGAAAGCCCACACUGGUUUUUGGCCCCCAUUCUUUUCCAGGGGCCCAUGGGAAAAAACAUCAAGAAACACACCAGAGGUCCAUGACCUGCACCUGCCUUGGGUAUUGGGUAUAUUGAAUAACAAUUAAAAAAAACAGUCAAGAUAUCAAAAAAAGUAAAGGAAAAAAACAAAGAAACAUUUCAAAGCAAC
rnacentral:lncRNA from 1 species